CCUACGGGAGGUAGCAGUCGAGAAUCAUUCACAAUGGGGGAAACCCUGAUGGUGCGACGCCGCGUGGGGGAAUGAAGGUCUUCGGAUUGUAAACCCCUGUCAUGUGGGAGCAAAUUAAAAAGAUAGUACCACAAGAGGAAGAGACGGCUAACUCUGUGCCAGCCGCGGCGGUAAUACAGAGGUCUCAAGCGCUGUUCGGAGUCACGGGGCGUAAAGCGUGCGUAGGCUGUUUCGUAAGUCGUGUGUGAAAGGCGCGGGCGCAACCCGCGGCAGGCACAGGAUACUGCGAGACUAGAGUGAUGGAGGGGGAACUGGAAUUCUCGGUGUAGCAGUGAAAUGCGUAGAUA
rnacentral:rRNA from 1 species